rnacentral:rRNA from 1 species
UACGGAAGGGGGCUAGCGUUGCUCGGAAUCACUGGGCGUAAAGCGCACGUAGGCGGCUUUCUAAGUCAGGGGUGAAAUCCUGGAGCUCAACUCCAGAACUGCCUUUGAUACUGGAGAGCUUGAGUCCGGGGAGAGGUGAGUGGAACUCCGAGUGUAGUAGGUAGGUGAAAUUCGUAGAUAUUCGGAAGAACACCAGUGGCGAAGGCGGCUCACUGGCCCGGUACUGACGCUGAUGUGCGAAAGCGUGGGGAGCGAACAGG